rnacentral:piRNA from 1 species
ACCUUUAACCAUGCUCUGCCUCACAUC